ensembl:lncRNA
AAGCGCCCCAAGCCUGAUCCCGGCCCUCUCAUGCCUCUCUGACCACCAGGCCGGCCGGGUAUGGGCCCAGCACGCCAGCGCCAUCCAUUUUCAGGGCUAAUUGAUUUGGCAGGCUAGCUGAACUCUCCAGCCUGAAGGUACAGCUCCUACAAAGGAAAUGAGCCACUGGCUCCACAGGGGGGCCCAGGCUCAGAUGAGAGUGCAAGCUCCUUAAAGACCGGGGGCCACCUUCACAAAAAGAACUGUGUUUUCCAUGGAGCUUGGCCCUGAGGAAAUGUCUCAAUGCACAUUUGUUAGCUUGUUCAAGUAAUAAUGCCUACAGUGUUUUCAAAAUUGACUGUCAUUCAAUUAGGAGAGGCAGAACAGUUUGUAGGUGUGACUAAAUUAAGAACCUUUAAACGGAGGAAUUUAUCCUGGAUAAUUCAAGUUGGCUCUAGAUGUAAUUAGAGGGGCAGAGAAAGGUUGCACAGACAUGGAGAAGAAGGCAGUAGGAGAUGGAACAGAGAGAGAUUUGAAGAUGUUGGCCUUGAAGAUUGGAGUGAUGUGGACAUAAGUCAAGGGAUGUUUGCAGCCUCCGAAACCAGAAGAGACAGGGAAUGGAUUCUCUCUAGAGCACCGCAGGGACAGCAGCCUUGCCAGCACUUUGACUUUGGCCCCGUGAAGCCAAUUUUUGUUUUCUGUCCUUCAGAAUUGUGAGAGAAUAAAUGUGUGUUGUUUUUAGC